ACGUUCUAUUUCCUUUAAUUUACUCAGAAUAUUGAUUCCCAAGAUUUUAAAAGUGACUUACAAUUUAAUAGAACCUCAACCUAUUUAAUUUACAUAGUGCUUCUGUGAUUCUCAAACAAAACUUUUUCAACUUUUACUUUGGAUUCAUGGAAUACCUCUGCAGGUUGUUACCUGUGUAUAUUGCGUGAUGCUGAGGUUUGGAGUACCGAUGAUCUCAUCACCGAGAUACCGAGCACAGUGUCCAAUAAUUUUUCAACCCUUGCCCUACUCCUUCCUCUAGGAAUCCCCAGUGUCUACUGCUGCCAUCCUUAUGUCCAUGUUUAGCUCCCAUUUGUGAGAACAGGAGGCAUUUGGCUUUUUGUUCCUGGGUUAAUUUGUUGUUUGUAAUAGGAUAAUGGCCUCCAGCUAACUCACAGACAAGCUGGCUUUCUUUCAUAUGGCUGUGUCAAACACGGUUUUAGAUCUAUCAUCUUCCUGGCAUAAUUGGUUAGGGAGUUUGUCUGAUUCUUCUUCCCAGCCAUAUGACCUUGUGCAAAAAUCAAACUUUGGGCAAAGAGUUCAAUUCAAACAUCAGCUAUUACUAGUGUAGCUGGGCCAUCCUACCCCAAUGGAAUUAUACAAGAAUUGGGUAUCACUCAGUUUCAGUACCUUUAACCUGGACACAUCCUACCCAGAUACAAUUUCAAGGGAAACAUGCCUACCCGUCUUCCUAGUUUUUUUUUUUUUUUGCCCAGCAGGAGUGCAGUGGCACAAUCGCAGCUCACCACAGCUUCGAACUGCUAGGCUUAAGCAAUCUUCCUCGGUAGCUGGGACUUCAGGCAUGCGCCACUGCAUCCCGCUAAUUUUAAAAUUUCUUGUAGAGAUGGGUUUGUUGUGCAGAUUGGUCUUGAACUCCUGGGAUCAAGCAAUCCUCCUGCCUCAGCCUCCCAAAGCAUUGGGAUUACACAGGCAUGAGCCACCACGCCUGGAGGUUUUAACGUGUCAGGCAAAGCACACACCCGCAGCAAGUGGAAAUCCAGCUUCAAGACAAUUUCCAUUUCUUACCAUCUUCUUCCACUUUGUCCAUCUCUCUCUGCAACCCUCCUCCAUCAAUCAUCCAUUUUAUAAAAUGCCCAUACUACCUUUUUCUAUGUGCUUUACCUACUCUUACUCUCAAAAAUUUCCUCCUGGGUCAUCUUAGAAACUUAUUAUUCAGUCUGCAUUUCAUUUUGCUUACCUUUCUGUGACACUCAUCCAAUGGCCUAUGGCCGUGUUUACACGGAUUUGAUAUGCUUUAGAAGGCAAUUACUUUUAUUCAUCAUUGCCUCCCCUGGGCCCAGCUAGCAUGGCACCUGUUACAUAAAAAAUUCAUGUUUUCUGACUGUUCAGUAGAUACCA
rnacentral:lncRNA from 1 species